GGACCCGCACAAGCGGUGGAUGAUGUGGUUUAAUUCGAUGCAACGCGAAAAACCUUACCUACACUUGACAUGCCAGAAAUCCCGCAGAGAUGUGGGAGUGCCGCAAGGAAUCUGGGCACAGGUGCUGCAUGGCUGUCGUCAGCUCGUGUCGUGAGAUGUUGGGUUAAGUCCCGCAACGAGCGCAACCCUUGUCACUAGUUGCUACAUUUAGUUGGGCACUCUAGUGAGACUGCCGGUGACAAACCGGAGGAAGGUGGGGAUGACGUCAAGUCCUCAUGGCCCUUAUGUGUAGGGCUACACACGUCAUACAAUGGUCGGUACAGAGGGUUGCCAACCCGCGAGGGGGAGCUAAUCUCACAAAGCCGAUCGUAGUCCGGAUCGCAGUCUGCAACUCGACUGCGUGAAGUCGGAAUCGCUAGUAAUCGUGGAUCAGCAUGUCACGGUGAAUACGUUCCCGGGUCUU
rnacentral:rRNA from 1 species